rnacentral:snRNA from 1 species
GGCUGUGAGGGCGAUCGGGCUGCGACGUCUGUCACGCCAUCGAUUGCUAGGGUCGAUUCGGCUGAUCUUGCUGACCAGACGGGUGUCCCCCCUCCUCCCUCACUGCUCCACCUGCGUCCCGCCCAAAGCUGCAUGCUGCGCCGACCAUCCUGACAGAGGAGGACCAGUCUUUGGUCAAGCGUAUGUGAGUAGCUGCACUCCCCUGCUAGAACUCCAGACAAGCUCUCAAGGUCCAAAUAACACUUGGGAUUAGGGUUUCAACAGGAAUUUGGGGUGCCCAGUGCAACCCAUAAGCUAUGGCCUCCCGUGGGAUGGGGCAGAGA